rnacentral:lncRNA from 1 species
GGCUCACCUGGUGUUCCAUCGACUUUGGAAUCGUGAUCAACAGCUGUUAGUCUUAAUCCACGCGACUUCAUCGGCAACCCCCUUUUCUCUCUCCAUCGGUUGUGAGAAACCCCUUUUCUCUCUCCAUCGGUUGUGAGAAACUUAUUCAUAGCGGUGUCAACAACAUUCCAUGGUGCAAAAUAAUUUUCAUUCAAUUUACUUUUAUCCACAUCAUGCAGCAAUGAGCAUUUCGCCAAAUAAAUUUACAGGCAAGUGUAAAAGUUAUACAAAUACAAACACGAACAUACAAAAAAAAUUAAAAAGAAAAGCUUCAGAUUGUACAAAAGAUUGAAAGGAAAACUUCAGAUAUCAUGUAGACCUAAUAAAAAAUAAAAAAAAUGAAAAAUUACAUUUCUUCUCGUUGGAUGCUCAUCACAAGGGAAAUGCAGAUGCCAAGGCACACAAGCUGCAACCUAAAUCAAAAAACAAGAAGCAAGUGCCGCCGCUUUCUUCAUCUUCCUCCCUGGAUCCAAAGCCUUUUCCACGAAUCCGACAAGGACACGAUGAUGUCGGGCAGAUUCACCUCCAGAUCUGCAUGGUGGGAGAGGGGAGAGAGAGACUGGGGAAGCAACUUACCUCAAACCUUGCCCGCACCGGCCGCUCCUCGCCGGGUCCGAGCUUAUCGUCACCUGGAAGGGCACCCUCCACCAUGGAUCCCGCCGGGAGGGUUGGGGAAGUGGCAUGGACCAGAUCCGGCCUUGCGUUGUACCAUGGGAAGAGAGCUGGAGUAGGAGAUGGUGGGGUCUCAUGCGUCGCACGCCGGCAUCCCCCGGGCGCCACCAUCGCCGGCCGCGCAGCUCGUCCCCUCGGCUUCCUCCUCUGGCAUCACCUCAUGACCGCGUGAGAGAAAGGAGAGAGAAAGUGAAAGGAUGGAUGAAGGAGGAGAGAGAACCAGAGAGAACGUGCAUCGGGGAGGGGGCAGGUCGAGGAGGCGUGGG